GCAAAUAUCUCUAGAUUAUCAGAAAUGCUCUGAAUCUCGAACAGUGUGUUUAAUUUUCCGUACGUUAUUUACAAAAUCUUUUGCAACUGGAAUUCGAGCGGAGAUAGCUAUGACUGCCAUGUUUCGUUUGUGUUUGAUCCUGGUUUUGUUGGGAGUAAUUGAAGUAUUGGGUGCACGCCAUGCCAAAACCCAGAGGCACAGGACCCAACUACGCUCUUUUUUCAAACGUCAGCCGUACGUCAUCUGCGGCUCUAAACCUGGAAGUGGUCAUGUGUGGACUUGAAUGAGAUCUGUCCUAACUACUUCCCUGUGGAAUGUCCAUAUCAUGGCGUCUGCCCAAUAGGAAAGCGCUGUUGCUGCCCUGGCUUUGGAUGAACAAUUCAUAAAUAUUUUUGAUGAUGACAAUGAUGCCUAGAUGCACGUGGCUUCUCAGCCAUAGCGAAAAAAUGACGAGUGAAGGGAACAUAUUAAUAGGUUCUUCUUAGAUGGAAAUCACUUUUCAAUUGUAAAGAAAGGGAAAGAACCUUUCAAACAACUAGUGAUAAAAAUAAAAGUAUCAUCAUUUUAUACAAAA